UACGGAGGGUGCAAGCGUUAUCCGGAUUCACUGGGUUUAAAGGGUGCGUAGGUGGGCUGGUAAGUCAGUGGUGAAAUCCCCGAGCUUAACUUGGGAACUGCCAUUGAUACUAUCAGUCUUGAAUCCCGUGGAGAUGAGCGGAAUAUGUCAUGUAGCGGUGAAAUGCUUAGAUAUGACAUAGAACACCAAUUGCGAAGGCAGCUCGUUACACGAAGAUUGACUCUGAGGCACGAAAGCGUGGGGAUCAAACAGG
rnacentral:rRNA from 1 species